AUUGAACGCUGGCGGCAGGCCUAACACAUGCAAGUCGAGCGGAUGAAGGGAGCUUGCUCCUGGAUUCAGCGGCGGACGGGUGAGUAAUGCCUAGGAAUCUGCCUGGUAGUGGGGGAUAACGUCCGGAAACGGGCGCUAAUACCGCAUACGUCCUGAGGGAGAAAGUGGGGGAUCUUCGGACCUCACGCUAUCAGAUGAGCCUAGGUCGGAUUAGCUAGUUGGUGGGGUAAAGGCCUACCAAGGCGACGAUCCGUAACUGGUCUGAGAGGAUGAUCAGUCACACUGGAACUGAGACACGGCCCAGACUCCUACGGGAGGCAGCAGUGGGGUAUAUUGGACAAUGGGCGAAAGCCUGAUCCAGCCAUGCCGCGUGUGUGAAGAAGGUCUUCGGAUUGUAAAGCACUUUAAGUUGGGAGGAAGGGCAGUAAGUUAAUACCUUGCUGUUUUGACGUUACCAACAGAAUAAGCACCGGCUAACUUCGUG
rnacentral:rRNA from 1 species